rnacentral:misc_RNA from 1 species
CGGCUGUUCUGACUGUUUGCCUGGAAAUGUUACAUUAUACCAGUCAUUCACAAGUAUGCAGUGAGAACAGAUCCACUCUUGAAAAUCAAAUCAUCUAUAAGAUUGAAGCAUCCAAGUGCGAAAUUUUCAUUAUAUAAAUGGAAUGCAUAGAGGAACCUUCUUGCAUUGGGAUAUUUAUCCUGUUGGGUCUGCCAAAAUCAAAGGUCCAAAGGAAAAAAAUGUUGGUUUCAGGAAUUAACAUACCUGAG